rnacentral:lncRNA from 1 species
GUAGGACCAGCUGUUGCCAGGCCCUCAGAGACACAGUGUUCCAUUGUGGAGUCAGCCACGCAUAAUGGGCCCUUUGAAUUGCUGCAAGUGCUUUCCAGCUGGGCUGCUCGAAUCCAGGAGUCAGGCCUGGCCCUGGGGGGGCGGUGGGGGGGGGGAGGGGAGGGCAGGUUUGACUUUCUAAAUGGGCUUUGUUCACCCAAUGGAAGAGAAAACUCCAGAGCUUGCUCAGCAGCCUGGGCACUGGGCUGCCAGCGUGGGCGGGGCCCCUUGGGGGAGCCAGGGACUGAGCAGCCCCUUUGGGUGGCUUCAUGGUCCUCACUGGCAUAGAGACAAAGCCAGGACAAUCUCCAGUCACUACAGCACACAGUACAGCGCAUCCCACCGUGAUCAGGUGCCCUCUGACCAGGCGUGCCCCAGAAAGUACGGGGUGAUCCUGGGGUAUCGAGAUGCUGAAAGGGAAAAGGAAGCCCCGAAAAAUCACACCGCUGACCCCAGAUCUUCAGAGGCAUUGACCUGGCCACGGUCAUGGGGAGAAUCGGCAGGUCUCCUGCGUCAUCUGUAGCUCUGUCCACUGACCACUUGGACACCUGUGCCCAGGAGCUAGCGACCAGACCGUCCCUGAAGGGGCAGCAGCAACAGCAGGAAACACGGCUUCCUGUGGACAUGCUGAUGACCCGAUGUCAGAGGCCGAGCUCAGAUGCUGCGUGGUACACAUUACCUCCAGCAGCUCAUUUAGUUUUUAAAUUAAAAACCUACAUUUGGUACUCCAAGCUAAUAUAAUGUUAUUUGUCAAUUAUAUCUUAAUCAAAAAACAACCUAUGAUAGCUGUGCUUUUAUCAGUAUUUUUUCCAUGUAAAGUUGUGGAAAGGAAAGCUUACAGGAUGAUUUACCUGAAGUUACCAGUUUUAAAAGUCACAAGCAGUGUAGUUGCAGAAUCUGUUCACCCAACCAUUGCACCGCACUGCCUUGCUACCGGGGAGCGUGUGGGGCCACCCGCUCUCAUUCAGAGUUUGGAGA